rnacentral:misc_RNA from 1 species
GAUGAAGAACGCAGCGAAAUGCGAUAAGUAAUGUGAAUUGCAGAAUUCAGUGAAUCAUCGAAUCUUUGAACGCAUCUUGCGCUCCUUGGUAUUCCUUGGAGCAUGCCUGUUUGAGUAUCAUGAGCAAAUCUCAAAGUCAAUUCCUUUUGUUGAUUCAAUUGGUUUUGCUUUGGACUUGGAGGCCUUGCAGAUUUCACAGUCUGCUCCUCUUAAAUGCAUUAGCUGGAUCUCAGUAAUUAUGCUUGGUUCCACUCGGCGUGAUAAGUAUCACUCGCUGAGGUCACUGUUAAAAAGGUGGCCAGGAAAAUACUGAUUGAACCGCUUCUAACGGUCUAUUAAGUUAGACAAUUACCCUUAAGUUUGAUCUCAAAUCAGGUAGGACUACCCGCUGAACUUAAGCAUAUCAAUAAGCGGAGGA